rnacentral:lncRNA from 13 species
CUUGGGUCCCAGCUGCUUCCUGGGCCUCUGAAUCCUCAUCUUUGAGCUGAGGGUGUGAGACGGGAUAAUUCCAGCCACCAUCCAGCCCCAAAUGUCCCCCACUUCAUGACUGUCUUCCUCAAAUGCCAUGCCUCCUCAAAUACCUCUCCUCCCCACCAGCGAGAGAGGUGCAGUCUGGUGGGGGAGAGAGGAGGCUGCUGGAUGACUGUGCCUUCUUCCCACAUCCCAGCCUGUUCUUCUGGAUCCCACAUCCAGGGACCCCCAGCCUUUACAGUUGACCCAUUCCAGCAUAUUAGCCACAAGAUUGUUGGUUCUCUUUAAUAGGUGAGGAGUCUGAGUCUCAGACAGACCCUGUGUCUUGCUGAAAGUCACCUGGCCAGUCAGGGGCAGGGCUGGGUUUCAAGCCCAGCAGCAGGCCCCCUUGCCCCCACCCCCCAACAUCUGUGCAGAGCCCUGGGUUGCCCUCCUCCAACGUCGUUGUGGCGUGAACAGCCAGGCGCUUUCAUUCAGGGCCCGACUCUGCAGCCGCCACAGCCUGGUGAUGUCAGCGUUGCCAUGGAAACCAUUCCCCAGGCGUCGGGCAGGACCAGCCUCCCCAGCGCAGUUUCCCUUUGUGUGGACUUUGCAACGCGUUGCCAAGACAACAGGGUCUUCCUAUGUUUCCCAGGCUGCUCUCCAACCCCUAGGCUUGAGUGACCCUCCUGCCUUGGUCUCCCAAAGUGCUGGGGUUACAGGCACCAUGCCUGGCUGUGAAUCUCCCUUAUUAAAGAUCAGCAAACACUAG